rnacentral:rRNA from 1 species
CCUACGGGAGGCAGCAGUGGGGAAUCUUGCGCAAUGGGCGAAAGCCUGACGCAGCAACGCCGCGUGCGGGAAGAAGGCUUUCGGGCUGUAAACCGCUUUCAGCAGGAACGAAAAUGACGGUACCUGCAGAAGAAGGAGCGGCCAACUAUGUGCCAGCAGCCGCGGUGAUACAUAGGCUUCAAGCGUUGUCCGGAUUUAUUGGGCGUAAAGAGUUCGUAGGCGGUCGAGUAAGUCGGGUGUGAAAAUUCUGGGCUCAACCCAGAGACGCCACCCGAUACUGCUUGACUUGAGUUCGAUAGGGGAGUGGGGAAUUCCUAGUGUAGCGAUGAAAUGCGCAGAUAUUAGGAGGAACACCGGUGGCGAAGGCGCCACUCUGGAUCGAUACUGACGCUGAGGAACGAAAGCAUGGGUAGCAAACAGGAUUAGAUACCCUGGUAGUCCAUGCCGUAAACGGUGGGCACUAGGUGUGGGUUUCUAUUAACGAAAUCCGNGCCGUCGCUAACGCAUUAAGCGCCCCGCCUGGGGAGUACGGUCGCAAGACUAAAACUCAAAUGAAUUGACGG